rnacentral:lncRNA from 1 species
GAAAAGGACGACGGACUUUGAAAGAUCUCCGUGUCAUAGUUCUACCAUUUGAAUGUGUUUUCGUCUUAAGCUGCAUUGCUCUAUGGAUCCAUGCUGUCUGUGAGUAUAAUUAACAAAGUAACCUGUCAUAACUAUGAUAUAUAGGUUUUGUGGAUGACAUUAAAUAACUGUUAACUCUUUAUAUUAUAAAAUAUAUUGACACAAUGGCAUACCUAUGAUUUAUAGGUUUUGUGGAUUUCAUAUUAAAUAACUGUAUUAUAAAAUAUAGGCACAGAAGCGUCGGAGGGGUAUGUACCUUUUUUCUCAAAGCAGGUUUAUCUUGAUACCAAUGUUUCUCUCAUUGAACUAGGAAUUCAUUUGUGUUGAAAAUUUCAAAAUAAAUGAAUGGUUGCCUCAUCACAGGCAUGUAUCAUUACCCUCAUGUUUAUUAUUGUUAUGAUUACUUUCCUAGAAUUAAGCAAGAAGUGGCGAUAUUACGGAGAUAUGGUUGUAGACGUUGGUGGAAGUUUUUGAAGGAUGGUGCUAAACCAUCGGAGGCUCUUGAGAUGUUAAGUCAGUCUGCACCUCCACCUGCUGGACCAGACACUCCACAGGAGAGUCCACCAGAUCCUCCUCCUGAAGCAGAGAC